rnacentral:rRNA from 1 species
GGUGGGGAGUGACGUCAAGUCAGCAUGGCCUUUAUAUCCUGGGCUACACACACGCUACAAUGGGAAGGGACAAUAGGUUGCGAAGCCGCGAGGCGGAGCCAAUCCAGCAAAACUUCCCUCAGUUCAGAUUGCAGGCUGCAACUCGCCUGCAUGAAGUUGGAGUUGCUAGUAAACGCAGGUCAGCCAUACUGCGUUGAAUACGUUCCCGGGGCUU